UGGUGCAGAGGCGUGGGGACAGGACACAUCUCUGCCAUUCCACUCGCGCGCAAAGCGUUAAAGGCCAGUGAGAGGAUCUGCAGAGGACAGAGAACACCCAGGAAUAGGAGUCGGACGUGGGGGAGCCCAGGGACCUGGGCCGUGCGCCUGGCCAGCCCUGCUUUAAGGCUGGUCAGUUCUUCAAGCAAGGAAAGAAGGCUUCAAGGCGACUGUCUCAAAUCUCUGGAGAUUGUCCUGCUUUAAGGCUGGUCAGUUCUUCAAGCAAGGAAAGAAGGCUUCAAGGCGACUGUCUCAAAUCUCUGGAGAUUGCCCUGCUUUAAGGCUGGUCAGUUCUUCAAGCAAGGAAAGAAGGCUUCAAGGCGACUGUCUCAAAUCUCUGGAGAUCGUCCUGCUUUAAGGUUGGCCAGUUCUUCAAUCAAGGAGAGAAGGCUUCAAGGCGACUGCCUCAGAUCUUGGAGGACUCCCUGCAGUCAGUCAGCUGUUGGUCUUUAACACCACUUGAACACAGAGAAGAGGGGAGACCUGCACCACAUCUGUGAAGGUGGGUAUGGGAGAGGGGUUCACUUUUAGGUGGGGUAGUCUCAAUCACCUCAGAGUGACUACUGUGAGACUUGGGGAUCCCCUCUCUGUCCAUUGCUAGUGUGUGCACUUUCUCC
rnacentral:lncRNA from 1 species